UGAUUGAUUGCUUGCAUUCAUGAAUUCAGAUCUAAGCGAGUGGCGGACGGGUGAGUAACACGUGGGUAACCUGCCCAGAAGUAGGGGAUAACAUUUGGAAACAAGUGCUAAUACCGUAUAACAACAUUAAACACAUGUUUUUUGUUUGAAAGAUGGCUCUGCUAUCUCUUCUGGAUGGACCCGCGGCGUAUUAGCUAGUUGGUGAGGUAAUAGCUCACCAAGGCAAUGAUACGUAGCCGACCUGAGAGGGUAAUCGGCCACAUUGGGACUGAGACACGGCCCAAACUCCUACGGGAGGCAGCAGUAGGGAAUCUUCCACAAUGGGCGAAAGCCUGAUGGAGCAAUGCCGCGUGAGUGAAGAAGGUUUUCGGAUCGUAAAACUCUGUUAUUGAAGAAGAACAUGCGUGAGAGUAACUGUUCACGUACUGACGGUAUUCAAUCAGAAAGCCACGGCUAACUACGUGCCAGCAGCCGCGGUAAUACGUAGGUGGCAAGCGUUGUCCGGAUUUAUUGGGCGUAAAGAGAAUG
rnacentral:rRNA from 2 species